GUCUUGCCGCGUUAUUUUUUUUUCUUUUUUUUUUUUUUUUCGUCCUAGUUGGUCUUUUAUUUAAAGAAGG
rnacentral:ribozyme from 11 species